ACAGUACCAAUGUGCGAAACAAUAACAGUUGCCACAAAACACGGGUGAAAACAACACCCGGACAAAACCAGACGGAAACGUACCGACCUAAACAAAUAACAAUCACACACAAAGACAUGGGGGAAACAGGGGGUUAAAUACAUGACCAGUAAUUGGGAAAUGAAAACCAGACGAGACAAAACAAAUGGACAAUGAAAAAUGGAUCAGCGAUGGCUAGAAGACCGGCGACGUCGACUUCCAAACACCGCCCGAACAAGAAGAGGCAUCGACUUUGGCAGAAGUCGUGACAUCUAGUCCCAAGAAAAGGAAGCUAUCUAGAGAGAACAGUGUUGUGGAGAAGACUGGAAAGAUGAAGACAAAUUGCAGAGACGGUCAGAAUUCUCAAUCAAAUAAGUAAUUUAUUUCAAAUGCCAGAUAUUCUGUUGUAUAUAAAACAUUAAUGAUAUUUUAUUUUCAGUUUGUCCAUAAAAGCGCUGGAGCCAUAAGAUGUGUCUGAGUAAUCCCGAGAUGGUCAUUGUCAUUGGAGGAGCGUAUGACCAAACCCGCUGUGAGGACUCCCUAUGGAAAUAGGUGAGAUGAGUCGACUGUUUACUAAUAUUGAUAACUUGUGUAAAACAACUGGGAUAGAUUUUGUCCUGUGCCAUCUUAUUAAAAUGCCCUAGUUUUGUCCUGUGCCAUCCAAGCUGCUGUCCUGGAGACAAGGCCUACAGAAACGCUCUGUACAUUUUUAACCCAGAUUUUGAGCUCUGGUACCAACCCAUUGUGGAGGGAUCUGACCUCUACCUAGGAUUGUGUCAAUGUUCCUUGAUUAUAUUUCUGUAGAGGCAUUGGGCUAUUACAAUACUUUGCUUAAUGUAUUUAACCAUUACAGGACGACAGUGUUUAUUUAACAAACACAUUUUAUGUUUACAUAAAACAGGCUCUAAACCAUUUUUUUGUCCAACCGGUUGCUCAUUUUUGGUGGCAGGAAGACUGCAAUCUACCUGAACAACCUUAACAUUUUGCGUCUCGGUAAGGCUGUGACAAAGAGUGGUGAUUUGGAUUACGCUACACAAAGCUAGUUACAACUUAAUCUUCAAAUGCAAUUUAGUUUAUUUUAGCAAAAGGCUUUAUGGAGUGCACAGCUGUGAAAUAUGAGAUCAUGCCAUCACUGCCUCGAGGAUAUCAUGCAGCACUGCCAGUAUCAGACAACAGGAUGCUGGUCAGUGGAGGUUGUAGUGCUAUUGGUGCCUUGCAGGACAUCCAUAUCUUCAAUGUGGGUUCUUUUCAGACACCAGUAUGUGGAGUUCAGUGGUAUCCCCUCUGCUCUGCGCCAAGCCUCGUGCCGGACACAGCAUGAACAACCUGGGAGGUUCUGUCCUCCCAGGCACUGUCAAACAGAAGCAGGGCGAGCAUACCAACACCCACAGCACUCUGCUGGUGUUUGGGGGCUCAGACUGCGCCGGGAUCUUCUUCAAUGACCCAGCGAAGUGCACAGUGGAGAUCCCUGGAGAUAAGAGACUGGACCUUAAGGAGAGACUAUAACAGCCUUAUGGGGAAUAAGGGGGAAAAAUUUGACUUUAUAUCCGUGUCUGGCUUACAAAUAAUUCUGAAUGAUAUGAGUGAAUGUAUCAUGGGCAGAACUAAUACAGGGACUGUUGAGUCAUUUUUAUUUGCUCUUCUGUUACAUUAGGCUUGGAUGUAAUUAAGUCUUCAGUAACAGUUUUAUUGUGGCCACUGAAGGCUGUAGUCUAGCCUGAUUUGCUCUUUUCUGGAGGGGGAUGUUGAUUGUCAGUUAUGGUGCAAGUUAUGCCUUUUUAAUCACACUGUUGUCAGGUGUCUGACAUUACAUUAUGGGUUGCUAACUUUUUUAUAUUGAUUUUUAAGUGCCAUUCUCCCCAUCUGAGAAAUGGUAUAGGCACCAGAUCUAACAAACAACAUCUCUCCUGUGUUCUAGAUAUUUUCUCACCAAUGUGUGUUGAAAGAAAAUAACUUUCUAUUUAGUUUACAUUUUUUAAGCAUGGGUUAAUUAACUGCUGCAUGAUAUUAGUUGAACUUCAGCUAUUUUACUAAACCAAUUAUUAAACAAAGAGCAGACAGCCAUUUCCACUUUCCUCAUGUGUAUACCAGUGGGCUGGUAUUGGGCACUUUCAUGUUGUCUAUUGUAUUUAUCUUCACGAAUCCACUAUGUUCCAGUGUCAUGUUGAGCAUAUGUCAAGAUGGGGGAACGUGCUGUAUCAGAGGUUAAAAUGUACAUAUUCAAACUCAACU